GAUGAAGAACUUAGCGAAAUGCGAUAAGUAAUGUGAAUUGCAGAAUUCAGUGAAUCAUCGAAUCUUUGAACGCACAUUGCGCCCCUUGGUAUUCCGAGGGGCAUGCCUGUUCGAGCGUCAUUAUAACCCCUCAAGCUCAGCUUGGUGUUGGGGCCUGCUGCACUGGCAGCCCUUAAAAUCAGUGGCGGCGCCAUCUGGCUCUAAGCGUAGUAAUUCUUCUCGCUAUGGAGUCCUGGUGGAUGCUUGCCAUCAACCCCCAAUUUUUCAAUGGUUGACCUCGGAUCAGGUAGGGAUACCCGCUGAACUUAAGCAUAUCAAUAAGCGGAGGA
rnacentral:misc_RNA from 1 species